AGAUCAUCAGAAAUAGGGUUGUUGUGUUUUUUAAAUAACUAGGGUUUGUGCAGACCUCAAGGUUGUUUGAGGGUUUAAAUAAAUACAAAGAGGGGGAGAAACAUUCCCAGUUGAGAAAUCCGUAUGGAAAAAAGCAGAGGAAAGGAAGAGAGACACCUAUGGAGGUACAUGAAAGGUCCAAAAUGAAAGCCAUUAAGGAAUUUACCACUGUUACUGUGGGAAAUAAUGUUGAAUAUGUGCCUUGAAGGUCACAAUGGGUAGGGGGGACUCAUCAGAUAACACGGAACUCCUUAGUUCAUAAUCAGAUGAAAGCCAUACUAACCAGAGUAUUUAAUGAAAUGACAGUGAGCAAGGACACAUCUUAGGCAGUAAGUACCACCAGACGGUGGUGGAGGUGGUAAACAGAAAGGCUUAGAACAUUUCAAAAGGGGUUUCCACGAGACUAGAUGGCCCCUGGGACAAGAUGCAGCAAGAAAAGAUAGACGCCAAUGAGGACAAAAAGCCUGGGAAAGGAGAGAAGAAGAUUGAGACAGCAAGUCAAGCACUAGAAAGAGGAAAUUAAGAAGAGGAAAGUAGAUCCGGCUGUAGGCAUGUUAAACGAAAGAUAAGGACAGUACAACAAAGCUGCACAAACACAGCAGUGUGGAUCAGACUCAGGCAGGAACGGAAGGCACGAGUGUGCCCCAGCUCAGAAAAGGUCAAGGUCUCCCGGACGCAGGUACCACCAAGUGUUACAGGCACAACCACACAGGAUAGCCAGCACCCAAAAGAACCAACACAGCAGAAAAGAUCAGAGGAAAAUAUGGACUCAUGGAACCAGCGGCCAGCACCAGGGACAGCAGGCAGAUACGAGUCAGCGACCAGCAAGGCCUAGCCCCGGGCGCCAGCCCAGGACCACUUUCUGGGGUACUCACAGCUUCCUUUCCUGAGCCCCUCUGGGCAGGAUGAGAUCUGACUAAGCAGCACUGCAGCUUAAAGGGACAGGGGCAGAAGGAGAAGCAGAAAGCAGAAAAUGAGCAGAAAUACAUGGGACACAACCUCACUGCAGCCAUUCCUUGUAUGAGAGCCAUCAUUAUUUUUUUCUGCAUCAUUCUGAUUAGUACAAAAAGAGAAAAAAAAUCUAUGGUUUCUAACAUUUCUGUGUGCUUGUGUGUGUAACUUAAAUAUAAAACAAAACAAGGCACCUCAAAACCAAUGUAGGGCACUCACUAUAAAAUGCCAACCACUCGAAGAAUAUGAAGAUGCCUCACAUUACAUUAGAGCUAAAGUAUUACUAUUU
rnacentral:lncRNA from 1 species